UACGGAGGAUGCGAGCGAUAUCCGGAUUUAUUGGGUUUAAAGGGUGCGUAGGCGGAUUUUUAAGUCAGCGGUAAAAUGUCCGGGCUCAACCCGGGCCGGCCGUUGAAACUGGGGAUCUUGAGUGGGCGAGAAGUAUGCGGAAUGCGUGGUGUAGCGGUGAAAUGCAUAGAUAUCACGCAGAACUCCGAUUGCGAAGGCAGCAUACCGGCGCCCGACUGACGCUGAGGCACGAAAGCGUGGGGAUCGAACAGG
rnacentral:rRNA from 1 species